UACGGAGGGGGCCAGCGUUGUUCGGAAUCAUUGGGCGUAAAGGGCGCGUAGGCGGCCAACCAAGUCCGACGUGAAAUUCCCCGGCUCAACCGGGGGCCUGCGUCGGAUACUGCUUGGCUUGAGUCCCGGAGAGGGUAGUGGAAUUCCCAGUGUAGCGGUGAAAUGCGUAGAUACUGGGAGGAACACCGGUGGCGAAGGCGGCUACCUGGACGGGUACUGACGCUGAGGCGCGAAAGCUAGGGGAGCAAACAGG
rnacentral:rRNA from 1 species